rnacentral:rRNA from 1 species
AUGUGCCGGAAUUUGUCUUCAAUCUCCUCAAAAUUCUGGUGGGGUGCGAUCAAUGGUGAGCAGAAGGUACAUUGGGUUGCUUGAGACAAGAUGUGUGCUGCAAAGAGAGUGGAAGGCAUGGGCUUUCGAGAUCCUGAAGCUUUCAACCAGGCCGUUUUGGCGAAACAAGCAUGUUGUGUGCUGCAGGUUCCAUCAGCUUUAUGUGCAAGGGUGGUAAAGGCUCGCUACUUUAGCGAUGGAAUCUUGAAUGCAACCUGCCCGACGGGAGGAUCUUACACCUUCCGAAGUUUCAUCCAUGGGCGUGACUUGCUGCGAGCCGGCCUUGUAUGGAGGAUCGGGGAUGGCAAUUAA